ACAAGUUCAACUUGACUGGGCUUUAGUUUCUGUAUACACCAUCAGAAGGUAGUUCUAAGAUACCGAAUAUUUGUAAAUUGUGGUAAUUAUGGAUGCUUAGGUGCUUUUGCUCCUUCCAAUGGAGUAUGAAUUCAUGGAAAACAUGUGUAUGUAUUCAGUGUUUUUCCAGUUGGAGUUUUGUACUUAAGUUUUGAAGCAUAUGUAGCUUUAAGCAUUUUUAAUAGAAACGCAUGUGUUGGUACAGA
rnacentral:misc_RNA from 1 species